CAUUUUCACGGUCUUUGGACCAUAAAUGCGCUGCUGUGAUGGCUUCUGAACCCUAGCGUAAAAGGAACCAAUUUCAGGUAAUGACAAGCUGCCCUUACUCGCUUUAGCAAGGGUAAAAUCAGGCUCGGUGUUAGUCUGGACAUGCCAAAAUAUCAACUGUCCCAUGCAAUAGUUCUCCCCAUAGGUUUUUUGAUACUUGUGG